UGGGGAAUUUUGGACAAUGGACGCAAGUCUGGUCCAGCCAUGCCGCGUGCGGGAAGAAGGCCUUCGGGUUGUAAACUGCUUUUGUACGGAGCGAAAAGGUCCGCCCUAAUACGGUGGGCUCAUGACGGUACCGUAAGAAUAAGCACCGGCUACCUACGUGCCAGCAGCCGCGGUAAUACGUAGGGUGCGAGCGUUAAUCGGAAUUACUGGGCGUAAAGCGUGCGCAGGCGGUUAUGCAAGACAGAGGUGAAAUCCCCGGGCUCAACCUGGGAACUGCCUUUGUGACUGCAUAGCUAGAGUACGGUAGAGGGGGAUGGAAUUCCGCGUGUAGCAGUGAAAUGCGUAGAUAUGCGGAGGAACACCGAUGGCGAAGGCAAUCCCCUGGGCCUGUACUGACGCUCAUGCACGAAAGCGUGGGGAGCAAACA
rnacentral:rRNA from 1 species